CAUUAUAUAGGAAGCGUUGGAUGUACAAAAGAAAUACUAAUAAUAUUUCCCAAAUGCUCCCGAAAAGCUUCGGAAAACUCAAUGAAUAUUUCUAAGAAGAUUACUAAAACUGGAUCUAAAGAGUUUUUCAAGAAUUCUAGCAAUACAGGGUGUUACCAAAGUUGUGGGCUGGCUAUAUGCAGCCGGAUUUUAUGACUAAAAAUAAGAAACAAUGUUUAAAAAACAUAUCGUCGUAGUCGUAGACAGCAAAUUCGCAACACACCAGGAAUUUUUGAGCACAUGAGGAAAUACAUGAUCCUAUGAGCUCAGUAACGAAUCUCUUUAGGAGAUAUGUUUAUUUAAUCUUUUUGCUUAUGUUUCUAACACCCGCCUGUAAUCUUUUUUUAAUCCGACCCUUUAAGUGAGUAUAAAUACCGGUAGCUAAUCGGAUGUAUUGGAGCAAAUCUCGUCUGAUUGUAAUAUUGUGUGUAAGACGUCAGAGAGUCUGGCAAUUAAGUAAAGAAGUUUUAAUUAUUGGAUGUUAUCACCCGGAGUACAUCGGCCGGCUGGAAAUUCCUAUGUCCCCGUUCCGUAUUUUGGGAAUUCUAUAGAUAAAAGCUCGUAGAUACCGUCAGUUAAUUUGUGCUUCCGUUCCGAUUUGGGAAAUACGUCCCGUGUGCCGUAAUUUCUUUAUUGCCAAGGCAAAAUUACAAGUACUACAACUAUUUUACUUUAAAGGGCUCUGGAAAAAGUCCACGCAUGGUCAAGAAGCGUGGGUAUAAUUUUUCACCUCCCAAAACCACAGAGGACACAACUCUCAACAACCCAAUAUAAAUCUAAAUGGAAUCCCACUGUAAUCAGUCUACCACACAUUCUUACGAAUAACAUUCGAUAAAUGUCUUACAUGGAAACAACAGACACAGAAUACAAAAGGUGAAUGUUUCAAACGCAUAAAUAUAAUCUAGUCCUUAGCACACUAUCAUUGGGGAGCGGAAGAAGAACGCAAACAAGUAAGAAUUUACAGUUUUGGCUCAUUCGAAAUUAGACUAUGGAAGCAUACUGUAUGUCGGCCAGCCCAUCUGAACUAAAAUGCCUUAAGGCCAUGGAGGCUAAACACUAAAUUACAUCAAGUCCAAGCCAACAUCACUCCAGCCAAAAGACCACCAAUGUAAAGAAGAGACAAAAUCAUCAAGAGAAGACUUAGGAUAGAUCAUACUCGUUUUUCACAUAGAUAUCUAAUGGCUUCCGAAAAUCCCCCUGCCUGCGAUACCAGAUUAACGAUAAAGGAUGCUCUUUUACAAUGACUUUUUGAAAACAACAAACCUAUAUUGUAUUUAUAAGUAUUAUUAUUAUUAAACGUGUCGAUGGCCAUUGUUCUCUGCCAUUCGACUUUAACAUCCAAACAAAGAUUAAUAAUUAUUGAAAACGUAGUAUCUAAUUAUAACAAU